GGGGGGGGGGGCAAGCGUUGUUCGGAUUUACUGGGCGUAAAGGGCGCGUAGGCGGUUCGUUAAGUCGGAUGUGAAAACUCUGGGGCUCAACCCAGAGCCUGCAUCCGAUACUGGCGGACUUGAGUGCGAGAGGGGAAAGCGGAAUUCCUGGUGUAGCGGUGAAAUGCGUAGAUAUCAGGAGGAACACCGGCGGCGAAGGCGGCUUUCUGGAUCGCAACUGACGCUGAGGCGCGAAAGCUAGGGGAGCAAACAGGAUUAGAUACCCUGGUAGUCCUAGCCCUAAACGAUGGAUACUUGGUGUGGGGGGGAUUGAAUCCUUCCGUGCCGGAGCUAACGCGUUAAGUAUCCCGCCUGGGGAGUACGGUCGCAAAGGCUG
rnacentral:rRNA from 1 species